UCUUUUCUUUUGAUAAGAGAGUUUUUAAAACCAGUGUUAUUUAUGUAAGUUUAAGAGAAGUUUAUGUAUUAAAUUAUUGAUAUUAAAUAGUUUUAUUAGGCUUAGACUUAAUUUUAGGUCAUUUUGGGGGUUUAGCUCAGUUGGCUAGAGCAUCGGCUUUGCAAGCCGAGGGUCAAGGGUUCGAGUCCCUUAACCUCCAUUGGGCUUAUGCCCUAAAUUGUAAUUAAGUAUGUUUUUAAGUAACUUUGUUAAAGUAAUUGUUGGAAUGUGAAACACAAGAAGUUAAAAUUUCUGGGUUAAGUUGAGAUCUGUUGAUAUUAAGAAAAAUGUCUAGAAGCAAAAGCAAGCUUUCGAUAAAACCCGAAGUUGUUUCGCUAAAGUGCAAGGAUUAAACAGGAUUGUAUUUUUCAGCAGCCUAUUUUAUAAACGAUCUGCAUUUAGUAAAUAGUUUUUAGUUAGGAAAUAAUGUAGAUUACUAAGUGUGAUGUC
rnacentral:misc_RNA from 1 species